rnacentral:rRNA from 1 species
UACGUAGGGGGCUAGCGUUGCUCGGAAUUACUGGGCGUAAAGGGCGCGUAGGCGGCCAGUUUAGUCAGAGGUGAAAGCCCAGGGCUCAACCUUGGAAUUGCCUUUGAUACUGGCUGUCUUGAGUUCGGGAGAGGUGAGUGGAAUGCCGAGUGUAGAGGUGAAAUUCGUAGAUAUUCGGCGGAACACCAGUGGCGAAGGCGACUCACUGGCCCGAUACUGACGCUGAGGCGCGAAAGCGUGGGGAGCAAACAGG